GCCCCAGGCUCAGUGGCAAAGCACCUGUUUUGCAUGUAUAAGGUCCCAGGUUCAAACCCUGGGGAGCGACU